AGUGAACGCUGGCGGUAGGCCUAACACAUGCAAGUCGAACGGCAGCACAGUAAGAGCUUGCUCUUACGGGUGGCGAGUGGCGGACGGGUGAGGAAUACAUCGGAAUCUACUUUUUCGUGGGGGAUAACGUAGGGAAACUUGCGCUAAUACCGCAUACGACCUACGGGUGAAAGCAGGGGAUCUUCGGACCUUGCGCGAUUGAAUGAGCCGAUGUCGGAUUAGCUAGUUGGCGGGGUAAAGGCCCACCAAGGCGACGAUCCGUAGCUGGUCUGAGAGGAUGAUCAGCCACACUGGAACUGAGACACGGUCCAGACUCCUACGGGAGGCGGCAGUGGGGAAUAUUGGACAAUGGGCGCAAGCCUGAUCCAGCCAUACCGCGUGGGUGAAGAAGGCCUUCGGGUUGUAAAGCCCUUUUGUUGGGAAAGAAAAGCAGCAGGUUAAUACCCCGCUGUUCUGACGGUACCCAAAGAAUAAGCACCGGCUAACUUCGUG
rnacentral:rRNA from 1 species